ensembl:snoRNA
GGAGAGGUCUAUCCUGAUGGAGCAUCUGUGCCAACACAUUGUUGGAAAUGCCUCACAGAGUAAAUUUGUGGUGUGCUUUACUCACAGGACUAUUCUCUGUCUGCGGGAAGUAACUACAAGACACAA